CCAAGUUUCAUGUCCUACUUGUACAGCAUUUCCGCAAAUAGUUUCUUGCGUGGCAAUAUUUUAGUACAGAGGGUGUGGAAUUCAAUUUUCCAGCAUGCUGGUUUAGGUACCUCCGUCAGCAUCAGAUCCCAUGGACAUGUUCAUGGUGGAUUUGCGUAACUGUUUCUGGAGAUAACGAUGGUGGGAGAAAGUAAAUGUCUCCACGGGUGGAAGAAAACCCCUGCUUAUUUCAGGGUCUAGGAAAGGGAAUACCAAACAACGCUCAGCUGUUCCUUUCCUGAUCCUGUAGAAACAACCCCCUUGUUUAUUCAUUUAGGGGAGAGAUAAAACAUGUUCCUCCAGUGGGAAGGUCUCCUGUGAUCCAUCAGUGAUGGCAGGGCUGGUUGUGAUCUGGUGGUUUCUGCUGCCCAGCCCUGUUCUCCUCACUCCUGUUGCUGGGAGGUCCCAGUGCUGCCUGCUGCUCUGGCAGCUGCUCUUCUCCUGAGCUGCUUCGCAGUGUGAAGGAGAAGGCAGGCAGGGAGGUCAUGCUGGAGGAGCAUUCUGUCGAGUGGGCUUUGAGGAGGGGGGGUUAUAAUAGCACAAGUGAAAAACAUCUUUGCCCUUUCAGGUCCAGGUGCUAACCUGGAGUGUGGGUGUGACAGCCAUGGCUUCCUUUAUCUGGUCAUAGGAAGGUGACUUCAAGGCAUCUGGAAGAGUCUUGUUUCCAACAUUCAUGUCUCACGUCACCAAAGAGGAAGAAAGGGACGAUGAAUCGGGUCAUUCCCCAGGGAGAAACUGGAGCUACCGACAACUUUCCUAAACCUAACAUCCUGUUUCCCAGUCAUCACCAGGUGGAGUAACACAAAGAUGACCUUCAUCUCUAAGGAAGAGAGACCCUUCUAAGUGCACCACCGAUUCAUCGAUCAGAAACUUGUUUUCUACUUCUGCUUGUGCUACAACUUUCACAUGGACCCUGGGCAAAGUCUUUGCCUAAAAAUGAGGAUUGUAGUCCAAGCCGAUGACUUAGAAGUCUCUGAGACAUGGUGGAGAAAGACAAGGACCUCCAGGUACAUCUUCCCUCCAGCUAUUUUUUUUUAAUGAAGAGAUGAAAGAUCACAGAAUGGUCAGGGCUGGAAGGGACGUCUGGAGGUCACCUAGCCCCACCCCCUGCUCGAGCAGGUUCCCCUGGAGCAGGGUGCGCAGAGUCACAUCAGGUGGGUUCUGAAUGUCUCCGGAGAAGGAGACUCCCCAGCCUCUCUGGGCAGCCUGUGCCAGGGCUCCGUCACCCUCAGGGUAACAAACCUUUCCCUCAUAUUCAGAUGGAACUUGUGUUGCAGUUUGUGUCUGUUGCCCCUUGUCCUGUCACUGGGUACUGUUGAGAAGAGUCUGGCCCUGGUCCUCCUGGGUGACUUCAACCACCCUGGUAUCUGUUGGAGGGACAACACAGCAGGGCACAGGCAAUCCAGAAGGUUCUUGGAAUGCAUUGAUAACUUCCUUCUCCAAGUGCCAGAGGAGAGGUGCCAUGCUGGACCUUGCUCUCAGCAACAAGGAGGGGCUGGUGGGGAAUGGGAAGCUCAGGGGCAGCCUUGGCUGCAGUGACCAUGAAAUGGUGGAGCUGAAGAUCCUUAGGGCAGUGAGGAGGGUGCACAGCAAGCUCUCUAUACAGGACCUGAGGAGAGCAGGCUUUGGCCUCUUCAGGGAUCUGCUUGGUGGAGUAGCAUGGGAUAAAGCCCCGGAGGGAUGAGGGGCCCAAGAAAGCUGCUUCAUAUUCAAGGAUCACCUCCUCCAAGCCCAGGAGGGAUGGAUCCGAACAAAGGGGAAGUCAGGCAAAAAAUGCCAGGAGGCUGCAUGGAUGAACAAGGAGCUCCUGGGCAAACUCCAGCA